rnacentral:misc_RNA from 1 species
AUUUAUUGUGGCGGCCAUUUUGGCUAUAGCUUAACGUAAUUUUUUUUUAAACCGCGUUAACAAGCCGCAGUCACGUUUGGUAGAUCAACCGUAAUUCAUGUCACCUUAUAUAAUAUGGAACAAUUAUGUGCAGCACUUGGUGUAAUCGUAAAACAUUUUCAAGAUCUGCGGAUCGUCAGAACAUCCUGACCAAACGACGAAGUCGAAGAAGUCGAGAGCCAACUCCCACUAUAAUCAGAUGCCAAUUGCAACGCAAUAGCGAAACCGUGAAAUGUUUGAUAAUAAAUUGUAACUGCUGCAGAAGGCGCGGAACGCACACCCGUCGGCUCAAGGGCGUUCUCUGGCAAUAUCUGAUUUUAUAUUCAUUUCGUUGAUAACUCCGGUCCUCUCUAGUACUCCUACGCAUGAUGCAAAGUAACAUACAG